GACGAACCGUGCGAACGUUAUUCGGAAUCACUGGGCUUAAAGCGCGUGUAGGCGGUCCGGCACGUCGAUUGCUGAAAGCCCCCGGCUCAACCGGGGAACGGGCGUCGAUACGGCCGGACUGGAGGGGGGUAGGGGAACCGGGAACUUCCGGUGGAGCGGUGAAAUGCGUUGAGAUCGGAAGGAACGCCCGCGGCGAAAGCGCGGUUCUGGACCUCGCCUGACGCUGAGACGCGAAAGCUAGGGGAGCGAACGGG
rnacentral:rRNA from 1 species